rnacentral:rRNA from 1 species
GACGAACGCUGGCGGUGUGCUUAACACAUGCAAGUCGAACGAUGAAGUUCCUUCGGGAAUGGAUUAGUGGCGAACGGGUGAGGAACACGUGAACAAUCUGCCCCUUACACGGGAAUAACUUCGGGAAACCGAAGCUAAUACCCGAUAUUGAAUUCGGUAGGCAUCUACUGAAUUUGAAAUGGUCCGCCGGUAAGGGAUGAGUUCGCGGCCUAUCAGCUUGUUGGUGAGGUAACGGCUCACCAAGGCGACGACGGGUAGCCGGCCUGAGAGGGCGACCGGCCACACUGGGACUGAGACACGGCCCAGACUCCUACGGGAGGCAGCAGUGGGGAAUAUUGCGCAAUGGACGAAAGUCUGACGCAGCAACGCCGCGUGAGGGAUGACGGCCUUCGGGUUGUAAACCUCUUUCAAUCGGGACGAAGCGAAAGUGACGGUACCGAUACAAGAAGCACCGGCUAACUAUGUGCCAGCAGCCGCAGUAA